GCUGGAGUGUGAGAAGAGCAGCCGAUCCAAAGGCCUGGUUCUGGAGCGAUCCCGAGCCACCUGUAACAUCAAGAUCAAGAUUAAGAUCAAGAAAAAGUGCUGGACCUGGAGGUUGACGAGUGGAAUGAGAUUUGUUUUCACCUCUUCUUUAUUAACUGGAAGGCUUGCUGAAGAGUUACUGGUAUUACAAGCGGCUGCCUAGGCACAGUUUGAGAGAAAUAUUAGUGUUAAAGCAGACAGCCGACAUCCUAUCAACUUACAUCGUGGUUGAAGUUGCUGAGUGGCAGCAAGAUGGUGUGUAUUCCCUGCAUUGUUGUACCAGUCCUGCUCUUCAUCUGGCAUCGUUUCCUGCAGCCUGUGCUUUUAAAGUUUUGGAACCCAUGGAAGAAGAUAACGGGCCAUCAUGAGACAGAGAAAAGUGGGAAAGAUGGCAGUUGUCCAGCAUCUGAUGGAACAGCUGUAAAGAGUGGUGGACCAGCAUGUCCCUUCUCUGGCAAAAAAGUAGCAGACCAGUCUUCUGAAGAAUUACUUCAGGACAAGAAGAAUGACUGAUUUUAUUCAUAUUUUCUAUUUGUGUGUGUCUGUGUGUGAUUCAUUAUUGUCUCAAGAGUCAUGUGUUGAACUUGUGAUUGUUGGCUUUAUCCUCUUGGGGAACGUUUAAAAUUUGUGUCAUUUGGCUUAGAACUCGUGUAGAAUUUGGCUGAGACUAAUGCAUCACAUUCCAGACCCUUAUGCUGAAAAAGGGGAACAACUACCAUAUUUGACAGCAUAUGGGACACACGGGCAUAUAAGACACAACGAAAGUUAUGUUAUCCUUUCCUUGUGCUCUUCAGUUUGUCUUUUUGCUGUCACUAGGCAUGUACAAUUUUUUUCUGUAGGUGAUGGCCCAAAAGCCCUUGCUGCUGCUCUAUUGCCACACCCCAUGGCAUAAUGUAGGAGAUUACAUAGCUCGGUUUUUUCCUUCUGCUGCCAUAACAGUGAGGGUGUUGAUGUGUUUUGUUGUGAUUAUGAACUUGCUGUCAUUCUUUACCAUCAGAUGGCAAUGUCAAGGUUCCAAUCAGCUGAUAUUUGUAAACAUGUGCACAGACUCACAGGUUAGAUUGCCUUGAUUUCUAUGAUAAUUAGUUUUUAAAGUAAUAAUGUUGGUAAUGAUAAUACCAGCAAUAACAUAAUGCAUGUAUUUAAGGUAGGUAGAAGUACCAAUAGUGAACUACAUUACUGAGCAUCUGGGAUAAGAUCACCCUAAUGGAAGUCUCAUUUUAGAUGCGGGGCGAUUUUUUGAGCCAAAUUUUUGGAAAAGUUGCAUCCUAUAUGCCAUCAAAUAUGGUCAUUAGUAAAAGAUUAUGAUUAGCAUUAUGAGUAUGGCCCAAACCUUCACUUGUCACUUGCUGAGUGACAGUUGUGGAUGAUGCCUAGUGAGCUGUGUGUGUGUGUGUAUUUACCUAGUUGCAUAAUACAGGGUUCGGAUAACUAAACUUUGAAUGUUCCUCAAACACUGACUUUUCAUGUUCUUUUUGGAGUAUUCUCUCAUCCAUCUAUCUCCAUCUUCUCUCAGUGAUAUCAGGUCUUGUCUGUCUUCCUUUUCCAUAUGGUUUACUCUCUUAUACAUUUUUAUUAGAUCUCCUCCCAUCUAUUCUUCAAAGUAUGCCACUAGUUAUUGUGCUCCAACUUGAUGAGAUUUCUCUUACCACAGUCCUCAUUUCUCUUCCUGUUAAGUAGUCCCUCAUGCAACAUAAAAUGUUUCCUUGUA
rnacentral:lncRNA from 1 species